rnacentral:rRNA from 1 species
UACGUAGGGUGCGAGCGUUAAUCGGAAUUACUGGGCGUAAAGCGUGCGCAGGCGGUUCGUUGUGUCGGCGGUGAAAGCCCCGGGCUCAACCUGGGAAUGGCCGUUGAAACUGGCGAACUGGAGUGUGGCAGAGGGGGGUGGAAUUCCGCGUGUAGCAGUGAAAUGCGUAGAGAUGCAGAGGAACACCGAUGGCGAAGGCAGCCCCCUGGGCUAACACUGACGCUCAGGCACGAAAGCGUGGGGAGCAAACAGG